UUAAGCGACCAAGCGUACACGGUGGAUGCCCUGGCAGUCAGAGGCGAUGAAGGACGUGCUAAUCUGCGAAAAGCGCCGGUAAGGUGAUAUGAACCGUUAUAACCGGCGAUGUCCGAAUGGGGAAACCCAGUGUGACUUGUCACACUAUCAUUAACUGAAUCCAUAGGUUAAUGAGGCGAACCGGGGGAACUGAAACAUCUAAGUACCCCGAGGAAAAGAAAUCAACCGAGAUUCCCCCAGUAGCGGCGAGCGAACGGGGAGGAGCCCAGAGCCUGAAUCAGCAUGUGUGUUAGUGGAAGCGUCUGGAAAGGCGCGCGAUACAGGGUGAGAGCCCCGUACACAAAAGCGCAUAUGCUGUGAGCUCGAUGAGUAGGGCGGGACACGUGGUAUCCUGUCUGAAUAUGGGGGGACCAUCCUCCAAGGCUAAAUACUCCUGACUGACCGAUAGUGAACCAGUACCGUGAGGGAAAGGCGAAAAGAACCCCGGCGAGGGGAGUGAAACAGAACCUGAAACCGUGUACGUACAAGCAGUGGGAGCCUCUCUUUAUGGGGGGUGACUGCGUACCUUUUGUAUAAUGGGUCAGCGACUUAUAUUCUGUAGCAAGGUUAACCGCAUAGGGGAGCCGAAGGGAAACCGAGUCUUAAUUGGGCGUUAAGUUGCAGGGUAUAGACCCGAAACCCGGUGAUCUAGCCAUGGGCAGGUUGAAGGUUGGGUAACACUAACUGGAGGACCGAACCGACUAAUGUUGAAAAAUUAGCGGAUGACCUGUGGCUGGGGGUGAAAGGCCAAUCAAACCGGGAGAUAGCUGGUUCUCCCCGAAAGCUAUUUAGGUAGCGCCUCGUGAAUUCAUCUCCGGGGGUAGAGCACUGUUUCGGCUAGGGGGCCAUCCCGGCUUACCAACCCGAUGCAAACUGCGAAUACCGGAGAAUGUUAUCACGGGAGACACACGGCGGGUGCUAACGUCCGUCGUGAAGAGGGAAACAACCCAGACCGCCAGCUAAGGUCCCAAAGUCAUGGUUAAGUGGGAAACGAUGUGGGAAGGCCCAGACAGCCAGGAUGUUGGCUUAGAAGCAGCCAUCAUUUAAAGAAAGCGUAAUAGCUCACUGGUCGAGUCGGCCUGCGCGGAAGAUGUAACGGGGCUAAACCAUGCACCGAAGCUGCGGCAGCGACACUUUAGUGUUGUUGGGUAGGGGAGCGUUCUGUAAGCCGUUGAAGGUGUCCUGUGAGGGGUGCUGGAGGUAUCAGAAGUGCGAAUGCUGACAUAAGUAACGAUAAAGCGGGUGAAAAGCCCGCUCGCCGGAAGACCAAGGGUUCCUGUCCAACGUUAAUCGGGGCAGGGUGAGUCGACCCCUAAGGCGAGGCCGAAAGGCGUAGUCGAUGGGAAACGGGUUAAUAUUCCCGUACUUGGUGUUACUGCGAAGGGGGGACGGAGAAGGCUAUGUUGGCCGGGCGACGGUUGUCCCGGUUUAAGCGUGUAGGUGUGUGUUCCAGGUAAAUCCGGUUCACUUUAACACUGAGGCGUGAUGACGAGGCACCACGGUGCUGAAGCAACAAAUGCCCUGCUUCCAGGAAAAGCCUCUAAGCAUCAGGUAACAUCAAAUCGUACCCCAAACCGACACAGGUGGUCAGGUAGAGAAUACCAAGGCGCUUGAGAGAACUCGGGUGAAGGAACUAGGCAAAAUGGUGCCGUAACUUCGGGAGAAGGCACGCUGACACGUAGGUGAAGUGAUUUACUCACGGAGCUGAAGUCAGUCGAAGAUACCAGCUGGCUGCAACUGUUUAUUAAAAACACAGCACUGUGCAAACACGAAAGUGGACGUAUACGGUGUGACGCCUGCCCGGUGCCGGAAGGUUAAUUGAUGGGGUCAGCGCAAGCGAAGCUCCUGAUCGAAGCCCCGGUAAACGGCGGCCGUAACUAUAACGGUCCUAAGGUAGCGAAAUUCCUUGUCGGGUAAGUUCCGACCUGCACGAAUGGCGUAAUGAUGGCCAGGCUGUCUCCACCCGAGACUCAGUGAAAUUGAACUCGCUGUGAAGAUGCAGUGUACCCGCGGCAAGACGGAAAGACCCCGUGAACCUUUACUAUAGCUUGACACUGAACAUUGAGCCUUGAUGUGUAGGAUAGGUGGGAGGCUUUGAAGCGUGGACGCCAGUCUGCGUGGAGCCGACCUUGAAAUACCACCCUUUAAUGUUUGAUGUUCUAACGUGGACCCGUAAUCCGGGUUGCGGACAGUGUCUGGUGGGUAGUUUGACUGGGGCGGUCUCCUCCUAAAGAGUAACGGAGGAGCACGAAGGUUGGCUAAUCCUGGUCGGACAUCAGGAGGUUAGUGCAAUGGCAUAAGCCAGCUUGACUGCGAGCGUGACGGCGCGAGCAGGUGCGAAAGCAGGUCAUAGUGAUCCGGUGGUUCUGAAUGGAAGGGCCAUCGCUCAACGGAUAAAAGGUACUCCGGGGAUAACAGGCUGAUACCGCCCAAGAGUUCAUAUCGACGGCGGUGUUUGGCACCUCGAUGUCGGCUCAUCACAUCCUGGGGCUGAAGUAGGUCCCAAGGGUAUGGCUGUUCGCCAUUUAAAGUGGUACGCGAGCUGGGUUUAGAACGUCGUGAGACAGUUCGGUCCCUAUCUGCCGUGGGCGCUGGAAGACUGAGGGGGGCUGCUCCUAGUACGAGAGGACCGGAGUGGACGCAUCACUGGUGUUCGGGUUGUCAUGCCAAUGGCACUGCCCGGUAGCUAAAUGCGGAAAAGAUAAGUGCUGAAAGCAUCUAAGCACGAAACUUGCCCCGAGAUGAGUCUUCCCUGAGACUUUGAGUCUCCUGAAGGAACGUUAAAGACGAUGACGUUGAUAGGCCGGGUGUGUAAGCGCAGCGAUGCGUUGAGCUAACCGGUACUAAUGAACCGUGAGGCUUAACCUU
rnacentral:rRNA from 1 species